rnacentral:misc_RNA from 1 species
CUUGGUGUGUGUGGGUAUGUCGGGUCCCUGCUCUGGCAGCGAAGGCAUGUUAUACACACCUCUUCAGUUGUUGGCUCAAGAGUGGGUUCACCUUGGUCGAUAUGGGUUUCUUGUGUUGUAUACCUCCACGAAGGUAUUCAGCAUGCCUAAAUGUCCCAUUUCCAUCUUGUGCUACACACCCUUUGUGGUUGUGGUGUGGGGUGGACCAUGAAGCAACCAUUGUGUUCCACAUCCCAUGCACCUUGCCCGUGCUUGGGUUGUUGGCGCAUGACGACUUGCUUGAUCUCUCGGAUACGGAAAAUUGAGUGGGUAUGAGGCGUUUUGCUUCUAUUUGCCCCAAAAACAAGCGUUCUACGCUUCAUGCGAACGACGGUUGUUCUCGUUUUGACUGAGUCCUCGUGGCUUGAUUCAUGCGUUAACGGCGUCGAUGAGGAA